AUUAAACGCUGGCGGCAUGCCUUACACAUGCAAGUCGAACGGCAGCACGGGGGCAACCCUGGUGGCGAGUGGCGGACGGGUGAGUAAUGCAUCGGAACGUGCCCUGAAGUGGGGGAUAACGCAGCGAAAGCUACGCUAAUACCGCAUACUCUGUGAGCAGGAAAGCAGGGGAUCGCAAGACCUUGCGCUUUGGGAGCGGCCGAUGUCGGAUUAGCUAGUUGGUGGGGUAAAGGCCUACCAAGGCGACGAUCCGUAGCGGGUCUGAGAGGAUGAUCCGCCACACUGGGACUGAGACACGGCCCAGACUCCUACGGGAGGCAGCAGUGGGGGAAUUUUGGACAAUGGGCGGAAGCCUGAUCCAGCCAUGCCGCGUGAGUGAAGAAGGCCUC
rnacentral:rRNA from 1 species